rnacentral:rRNA from 1 species
AACGAACGCUGGCGGCAGGCUUAACACAUGCAGGUCGAGCGCCCUUUACGGAGGGAGCGGCAGACGGGUGAGUAACACGUGGGAAUCUACCCAUCACUACGGAACAACUCCGGGAAACUGGAGCUAAUACCGUAUACGUCCUUCGGGUGAAAGAUUUAUCGGUGAUGGAUGAGCCCGCGUUGGAUUAGCUAGUUGGUGGGGUAAAGGCCUACCAAGGCGACGAUCCAUAGCUGGUCUGAGAGGAUGAUCAGCCACACUGGGACUGAGACACGGCCCAGACUCCUACGGGAGGCAGCAGUGGGGAAUAUUGGACAAUGGGCGCAAGCCUGCUCCAGCCAUGCCGCGUGAGUGAUGAAGGCCCUAGGGUUGUAAAGCUCUUUCACCGGUGAAGAUAAUGACGGUAACCGGAGAAGAAGCCCCGGCUAACUUCGUGCCAGCCGCCGCCGUAA